GCCGAGGUGGCGGAACUGGCAGACGCGCUAGAUUCAGGGUCUAGUGGGCUCCGGCCUGUGCAGGUUCGAAUCCUGUCCUCGGCA
rnacentral:tRNA from 1 species